rnacentral:misc_RNA from 1 species
UUAAGUUCAGCGGGUAUCCCUACCUGAUCCGAGGUCAACCUUGUAAAAAUUGGAGGGUAGACCAGGCUGCUCGCCGCCUACAAGUACGUGCUAGUGAAAGCUCAGUGUACCGAGGUUGCGACCAACCUGCCAUUAUCUUUGGGACCGGUCCUGUAACAGACCGAGAGUCCAACACCAAGCCAGGCUUGAGGGGUGAUAAU